rnacentral:tRNA from 1 species
GGACUUUUAGUUUAAUUUAGAAUUUUUCAUUUACAAUGAAAGGGUUAAAAAGUUUU